rnacentral:misc_RNA from 1 species
GGAAGAGGUAGCUAAAACUAAAACUGAGGUUGUGGAAUUUCUAAUACAAUCGAUUGUGGUGAAGCAAGACUCUACCAACUGGCCUGGGCAGCUUCGAAAUGUGUAAUCCACGAAAGAAGAACCUGAGAGAUUGAAGCUUAGGAAGGCAAUUGUCUGAGUCAUGAACUUGCAUGUGUUGUGUGACUGACAGUCGAUCCUACGCACAAGAAAAUCUGCAGAAUAUGGAAAUUUCAUAACUGUUUGCCUCUGAUUAUUGAAAUUUAGAUUGGAACCAGGAUAACCACAAUAGGCCUUCAUGUCGGAAGGGGAAUCGGAUAGGGAUAUCAUCCCCGCUGCAACUGAAGAUUUGGCAAUAUCUUGAGGCAUGGACAAUAGAAAGGAGAAAGACAUGAAAGAAGAUUUUCCAAGUUUUCCAUAAUGUUGAAAACCGGCGAUUGGAGAAAGGG